ensembl:lncRNA
GUGAACCUCUUUUUCCUUCUUCCCCCCCAUAAAACAGCAGGCCGGCCUCGGUCUGAGAGCCAGACAGGGGUGUGUAUAGGAAUAAAAGCUGCAGCUAGCCCUCCUAGCAACCUUUCAAUGAAACGUCAGUCCACAGCCGGGGCGGCACAAAGAAGAGAAAACCUGAGCAGGAGCCGAAACGGAGCAGCUUCAUCACCCUUUCUUCUACUCACCAUAACCUCCGCAGCUCGUCCUCACAGCCAGCCCGUGUCUCCCCGGUGUCUUUCAGCAAAUCAAAGUUCACAGUGAUGGAUGUUGGACUGAUACGAAGCAGAUGCUCACAGUUGGUUUCAAAGGUUUCAGUCGUCAGUUUAAAGGUCUGCUGUUCUGGUUCUUGGUGCCAGUUUCAUCAGAAACAAAUGGAACCAGAGGGGCACCGCUGGUCCUUCAGUGCCAUCACAACCUCAGCGAAAAGUUCAUUCCUGAGCAAACCUCCAUAUACUGGCAAAGUAAUUCCAGCGUUCUUCAUGUUUUUUCAAAAGGACAAGAGGAAUUUCAACACCAAAGUGAGUCAUUUAAAAACAGGACUGCAAUUUUCCGCGAUCAACUGGCCUCUGGCAACUUCUCCCUUGUCAUCAAUCCGCUGAUGCUGAAAGACGAUCAGCUCAGCAUCGAAGUUGCUUACAUACCAGAAAGCAGGACGCUCUGCCAAACCACUGUUCAUGUAGCAG